UACGUAGGGCGCAAGCGUUGUCCGGAAUUAUUGGGCGUAAAGAGCUCGUAGGCGGCUUGUCACGUCGGGUGUGAAAGCCCGGGGCUUAACCCCGGGUCUGCAUUCGAUACGGGCUAGCUAGAGUGUGGUAGGGGAGACUGGAAUUCCUGGUGUAGCGGUGAAAUGCGCAGAUAUCAGGAGGAACACCGGUGGCGAAGGCGGGUCUCUGGGCAACAACUGACGCUGAGGAGCGAAAGCGUGGGGAGCGAACAGG
rnacentral:rRNA from 1 species